AUUGAACGCUGGCGGCAGGCCUAACACAUGCAAGUCGAGCGAGAGGCGGAAGGGUGAGUAAUGUAUGGGGCUGUGCCAGGUAGAGGGGGAUAACUACUGGGAGCGGUGGCUAAUACCGCAUACUAUCGGAUGAACCCGUAUGGGAUUCGGUUGUGGGUGGGGUAAAGGAUCACCUAGGCGACGAUCUGUAGCUGGUCUGAGAGGAUGAUCAGCCACACUGGGACUGAGACACGGUCCAGACUCCUACGGGAGGCAGCAGUGGGGAAUAUUGGACAAUGGGCGAAAGCCUGAUGCAGCCAUGCCGCGUGUAUGAAGAAGGUCUUAGGGUUGGAAAGUACUUUCAGCUGGGAGGCGUUACCCGCAGAAGAAGCACCGGCUAACUCCGUGCCAGCAGCCGCGGUAAUAC
rnacentral:rRNA from 1 species